rnacentral:rRNA from 1 species
UACGAAGGGUGCAAACGUUGCUCGGAAUUAUUGGGCGUAAAGCGCACGUAGGCGGCAUCGCAAGUCGGAUGUGAAAUCUUAUGGCUUAACCAUAAAAGUGCAUCCGAAACUGCAGUGCUUGAGUACUUAAGAGGAUCGCGGAAUUCCCGGUGUAGAGGUGAAAUUCGUAGAUAUCGGGAGGAACACCAGUGGCGAAGGCGGCGAUCUGGGAAGAUACUGACGCUGAGGUGCGAAAGCGUGGGGAGCGAACAGG